rnacentral:rRNA from 1 species
GUUUGCGAUCAUACCAGCACUAAUGCACUGGAUCCCAUUAGAACUCCGCAGUUAAGCAUGCUUGGGCGAGAGUUGUACUAGGAUGGGUGACCCCCUGGGAAGUCCUCGUGUUGCAACUC